ACUUCUUCUCAAAAAAAAAAAAACUGCGCGAGAGGAAGGAAGGAGCAGAACGGUGGGGGACGGAGCGCCGCAUCUCCGGCCGGUGGAGGAGGAGGAGGAGAAAAUAUUGGCGGCUUGGCGCAACCUUCUUCCUCCUCCCCCACCCACUUACCGGCCUCACAUUUGGAGCCAGUACGGGCUCGGGCGGCAAAUAUGGACUGGGAGCAGACCAAGACGCGGAGGCCGUCCGGGUGGAGCGAGAGCUUCUCAAAGGAAGGACACGAUUGAUGACACGAGUGGCCGCGCAUUUGGGCUGCCUUGAACACAUAAGAGUCCGAUAUGGAUGCACCGUGAAGUUUCAUUAAGUGAGCAGCUCCCCACAAUUGACGAGUCAACAAAAUCCUGUGAAAGCUCGACCAUAUACUCGUUGAGAUGGCAAGGCUGGAGAAGCUCUAUAAAAUGCACACAUGUACUAAGGGGGUUAUUACUGGAGCUCCACUGGACCUGCAAAAUAGAGGCUAUAUCUACUAGCGCAAGCAGAGAAACAGAAACAGAAACAGUAAACUGUACCAUUGAAUCCAUUAACCCGGAUGUAGAGGUACAACUCAUAAAUGAUUUUUGCGCUGGAGGAGGUGAUAGCACAACCAUAUACUCGCUAAGAUGGCAAGGCUGUGUCAGGACUCAGGACCCAAUUAUGAAGACCCAGAUGGCGUCUGAUCAGCACCUAACGGCUGCGAGAGCAUCCUGUGUCGCUGUUGGCUUUCCAGCAAGCCUUCAGAGAGCCAACUACUCCAUUUUUCUUUUCCUUCUAUUUCCUCCAAGUUACAAGGUUAUAAAGCCACAUUCCUAGAACUCCCUGGGUAUCUCUCUUGUAUUAGGUUUUCCCCUUAGCCGCCAGUGUUCCUGGUUAGCCUUAGGUUCUUCUUGUAUCGCGCUAGAACCCUUGAAUUCGUCCAAUAAAGUAGCUAAGAUUUGCGAGUUUCA